CGCAAUACCGGUGCAGUGUUGGCCACACAUCAGACCCCCAUGUAAGAGUCUUGGCCAAAGACUGGAACAUGAGAGUGAGAAAAUGAGCCCAGAUUGGCAAGCAGGGAAUGAAUGCUUUGCAAAACUUCAGUGGACUGGGAAUUUAGCUCAGUGGUGCUGCGCCUGCCUUGCAAGCUCAAAGUAGGUGAGCCUUGAGCAAAAGAUAAUUUCAUUGCCCAACUCUAUCAAGUCACCUAGGAGGCUGCCAUCGACACUCACCACUGAUAUGGAUGCAUUGAAGCGGACUUAUGUUGGUUUUUAUUCCACUUGGUAUUUUGCCUGGUUGACCUGCUUGAACCAUCUGCACCCUACUGAGCACUGGCUGCUGCUGGCUUGGAGUUCCUGCCAUCUGUACUUGCUGUAGUCCUUCUUUUUGCCUCAGUCUCCCACAGUGCUGAGAUUAAAAGUGUGUACCUCCAUGCUCAACUCUGAUUUUUAAUUAUUGCAUCUUAUUCUAUUAAAAUAUAACCAACAUAAAAUCAGAAAUCAUGUCUGUCUUCACUAUAUUUCCAAUAUUUAAUUCAGUCCUUAAUAUGAAGUAGUUGCUCGGUAGAUUUUCUGGAUGGAUGGAAAUCUAGAUGAAUAGAUUGAUGAAAAGAAGGGAUGGGUUGGUGGGUGGAUGUUUGGAUGAUGGAAGAACAGAUGAUCCAGUAGGAAGUAAGAAUAACUGCAGGAAUGAGAAAGUUGUGCUCCAUAAAUAUUUUCUGGAUAAUUGGAUGCACGGAUACGUUGGUGGCUGGGUGCAAUGAUGGGCGAAAAAGAAUACUUGAUUGGAGGUAAGCCUGGAUGAAGAGCCUCAAGUGGAGGGUUAGAAUUUCAGCUCCUCUUCCCCAGGGGGCGCUGCGGGGCCACUCGCACGGGCCUGGCCUGGCAGAGAGGCGCCGCUCUAGGCUGUAGCCGACGCGAGGCCGCAGUUCCGCAGAGACUGCGGAGCGAGAACUCAGUCCUCCUGCUCCGUCCCGGUCUACAGCCUGUACUCAUGCUGUGCUCUGUGUACCCUGCUGCCUUCCGUCCCGGCAUCCGGCUAAGUCACUCAGGGCGUGCUCUGCGCAAGGCUCCCAAACCUUGCUGUUGAGCCCAAUGGAAACUACCCUGUGGCGGCGCUGCCGGUUCUGCAACAGCCAGCGCCCCCGCUCUCCCCGCCCCACGGACCGGAUGUCCCGAGGUGACAACUUGGUGUAAAUGGGUCAUGAGAGGUGUCCAUCUUGCCAGGAAGCAGCUGGACCAUGGUGCUCCCGAGUGAGGUGUCCCGGGAGUUGUCCUGUCAGGAACACCUUAGACCCCAGUGUCAUUGAGGGCCUAUGGCGAGGCAGAAAUGUCAUUGGCAGAAGGCCUGGUGGAGGAAAGCUGCUUACUUCAUCACAGCCAAGAAGCAGAGAAAGAAAGAAAAAGCCAUGGGGAGGACUUUGAGGUUGAGGGAUGCUGCGCUGGAACUGGAGAUUGCUGAAGGAAGGCCCUGGAAUAGAGGCACUGACCCUGUCAGGAUGAUGAAUGGGGUUCCUGCUCUGAAGGGAUCUCCUCAUGUUGGUUGUGGUGUUGAUUGUGGACACUGGCAUAGCAGAGUGAAGAGUGUCAUUGUCACACGACGCAUUCCAGACCUUAGUGCAGUGGCCUCAGCACAACACAGAGCACCUUUUUACUCUGCAUGAGCAAGCGGAGGGGAAGGCCUGGACUCUGAGGACUUGGGGUCCAGAGGUGGAGACCUUCCAGCUGGUUCUACCCCAUCCCAGCAGAGCCACAGAGCAUCAUAGACGGGAAGACCAGUCUUCCUUCAACUGGCCACCUCCAGUCUUGCCUACUCCUGGUGUAACUUGUAGACCCAAGAGAUCCUGGUGAAGUUUUCUAUACCCUGCACAACCUCAAUAAAUUGUCCACCUCAAUAAAUUUUGAAACAUGCUGUGCUGUGUAUUUUUUGGGUUUUGUUUGUUUACCAAAAUACCCAUGUGUACCAGCUAGGCUGGGUAUAGAGAAGGUAGUCACAGGGUGAAUCUUCCAGUUUUCACUUACUGAGAAUUCCCACUUAGCAUGCUCCUAAGUGGGAUGUGACCUAGGGAAUUUGAGGUAGGAGGUAGGAUUUGGACUAGAGGUUGAACAAUGCCACAUGCAUCUGGGGGCUCAGGCUUAGGAGAGAAGAGAACUGUUAAAACUAAGUUGCCUGAGCAACAUUUGGGCCAGGGAUUUGGAAGAGAAGAUGAUAAUGGGUGGAUGAAGAGAUGGAGAUGGUCUGAAGUCCUCAAGAAAGACAGGAGUGUUCUGAGCUUGAUGGCAAAAGUAUACCAUGCUCUGGAGUGAAUUUAGGAAAACGGUUUUGAGCAAAGGUAGGAGUGGGGUGUAUGAGGAUCAGCUGCCCUUGGAGAACUCUGAGGGUCUAGUAGACGGUGCCAGGGCCUGGGGUUUCUGUUACCCCAGGUGUAUUUGGUCUUUGGCUGGUAUGUUCAUUAGCAAUGAUGGCAAGGAUGUGCCCAGCAUGCCUGUGUAUUUCUUUUUUUUUUUUUUUUGGUACCGGGGAUCAAACUCAGGUCCUUGAGCUUCCGAGGCAGGCAACAGAACCACUGAGCUGAAUCCCUGGCCCAUGCA
rnacentral:lncRNA from 1 species